CCCCUCUUAGGGUCGUACCUGGAGAGUUUCCAGUUCUCUGCCAGUCUCGACUAUGGGAGGAAGAGUCAAGAAGAGGCCUGUCCAUUCCAUUCCUAGCUCGGGCAAUGGCUAGUGAGUGGAAGGCAAUCUGCUACAAGU